rnacentral:rRNA from 1 species
UACGUAGGGACCAAGCGUUGUCCGGAAUCCUUGGGCGUAAAGAGCGUGUAGGCGGCUUGUUAAGUCUUGCGUGAAAUCUCGGGGCUCAACCCCGAGCGGUCGUGAGAAACUGGCAGGCUAGAGUGCGGGAGAGGAGAGUGGAAUUCCUGGUGUAGCGGUGAAAUGCGCAGAUAUCAGGAAGAACACGCGUGGCGAAGGCGGCUCUCUGGAACGCAACUGACGCUGAGGAGCGAAAGCAUGGGGAGCGAA